UAGGGANNNNUNCNUGAGCGAAAGCUUGAUGGAGCGACACAGCGUGANAUGGAGGCCCUCGGGUUGUAAAGUGCUGUUGCAAGGGAAGAACAGUUAGUUGAGGAAAUGCUUCUAAUCUGACGGUACCUUGUUAGAAAGCGAUGGCUAACUAUGUGCCAGCAGCCGCGGUAAUACAUAGGUCGCAAGCGUUAUCCGGAAUUAUUGGGCGUAAAGCGUUCGUAGGCUGUUUAUUAAGUCUGGAGUCAAAUCCCAGGGCUCAACCCUGGCUCGCUUUGGAUACUGGUAAACUAGAGUUAGAUAGAGGUAAGCGGAAUUCCAUGUGGAGCGGUGAAAUGCGUAGAUAUAUGGAAGAACACCAAAGGCGAAGGCAGCUUACUGGGUCUAUACUGACGCUGAGGGACGAAAGCGUGGGGAGCAAACAGGAUUAGAUACCCUGGUAGUCCACGCUGUAAACGAUGAUCAUUAGUCGGUGGAAAACUACUGACGCAGCUAACGCAUUAAAUGAUCCGCCUGAGUAGUAUGCUCGCAAGAGUG
rnacentral:rRNA from 1 species